AUUGAACGCUGGCGGCAGGCCUAACACAUGCAAGUCGAGCGGAUGAAGGGAGCUUGCUCCUGGAUUCAGCGGCGGACGGGUGAGUAAUGCCUAGGAAUCUGCCUGGUAGUGGGGGAUAACGUCCGGAAACGGGCGCUAAUACCGCAUACGUCCUGCGGGAGAAAGUGGGGGAUCUUCGGACCUCACGCUAUCAGAUGAGCCUAGGUCGGAUUAGCUAGUUGGUGGGGUAAAGGCCUACCAAGGCGACGAUCCGUAACUGGUCUGAGAGGAUGAUCAGUCACACUGGAACUGAGACACGGUCCAGACUCCUACGGGAGGCAGCAGUGGGGAAUAUUGGGCAGUGGGCGAAAGCCUGAUCCAGCCAUGCCGCGUGUGUGAAGAAGGUCUUCGGAUUGUAAAGCACUUUAAGUUGGGAGGAAGGGCAGUAAGUUAAUACCUUGCUGUUUUGACGUUACCAACAGAAUAAGCACCGGCUAACUUCGUG
rnacentral:rRNA from 1 species